CCGCCGCCGACGACUUCUGGGGUUUCUAUUCCACCUCCAAACUCCAUCCCACCAACCAAGGUAUGUACUCUCCUAUUAAUCAUAAACAAAAAUACAAAAUCAUUCAAAAACACAAACAUAUAGUUUUUUCUAACCUUUUUAGCAAAAAGGUAAAAUAAUAUUUCUGGAACUUACGGAAGAUGAUAAAAAAAAAAUAUUUGUGGUUUUGGUAAUGUAAUUUAUCAGGAUUAUUUAAUUAUCUGUGUGGGGUUAAAAUUGUAAAUUUUGAACUUUGGGGAAUCCGGUGAAAAUUUUGAAGUUAACGUGAAAGAGGAGGCAGUGAAGAAGGAGCAGGCAACAGAGCCGGGGAAACGGAGGAAGAGGAAGAAUGUUUAUAGAGGGAUACGUAAGCGUCCAUGGGGAAAAUGGGCGGCUGAGAUUCGAGAUCCACGAAAAGGUGUUAGAGUUUGGCUUGGUACGUUCAACACGGCGGAGGAAGCUGCCAUGGCUUAUGAUGUUGCGGCCAAGCAGAUCCGUGGUGAUAAAGCCAAGCUCAACUUCCCAGAUCUGCACCAUCCUCCUCCUCCUAAUUAUACUCCUCCGCCGUCAUCGCCACGAUCAACCGAUCAGCCUCCGGCGAAGAAGGUCUGCGUUGUCUCUCAGAGUGAGAGCGAGUUAAGUCAGCCGAGUUUCCCGGUGGAGUGUAUAGGAUUUGGAAAUGGGGACGAGUUUCAGAACCUGAGUUACGGAUUUGAGCCGGAUUAUGAUCUGAAACAGCAGAUAUCGAGCUUGGAAUCGUUCCUUGAGCUGGACGGUAACACGGCGGAGCAACCGAGUCAGCUUGAUGAGUCCGUUUCCGAGGUGGAUAUGUGGAUGCUUGAUGAUGUCAUUGCGUCGUAUGAGUAAAAGAAAAAAAAUAAGUUUAAAAAAAGUUAAAUAAAGUCUGUAAUAUAUAUGUAACCGCCGUUACUUUUAAAAGGUUUUUACCGUCGCAUUGGACUGCUG
rnacentral:lncRNA from 1 species